ACCCCGCAGGACCCCGCAGGACCCCGCAGGACCCGGUGCCCCGCGGCCCCCGACGGCUCGGCCGCUCCGCACGCGGGAGCCGGCCCGAGGAGGGCGCCGCAGAAGAUCCGACGUGGAUGGUCAUUCCAGGGACCAAUCUGCUCCUGCCGCUCACCUGCUGAGAACCCUGGCUGGCCCCGAUGCCCGCGGAGGAAAGUUCUGAAGCCGCAGCUUGGCCCUUAAACCCUUUACAGUGUGGAUUCAGUCUCUGCUUUGUCUCGCAUCCCGACAGCCGCCUCUACAUCCUAGGAGCUGCUCCCUGGGAUUAUUAUUCCCUCCAUAAAUGCUUGAGCCGUUAGCGAAGCUCCUAAAAGCUUUGCUUUCUCGAGAUAACCAAGGGCUUUGAAGAGACUUGAGAUUACCUUUAGCAACCUCGUUUGUGAAAUCCAAAGUGGAUGCAAUUAGCCAUCUGUGGUCUUAAAUUAGGAAACUGCAAAACUAUGGGAACACUACAUCAUCAAGUAAGAUGACCUGGAAUACGAUUCGCAGAAACCUCAUCGCUUGUAUUUUAACCUCUCGGUGGAAUAUCACAACAGAAGUGUAUGGUCAACCCAGGACACUGAUGCUCACUUUUCUGAGAAUGUAGAUCAACCUCUUUUAUUAACAAAUGAAUCAUGGAAACUUCCUCCUUUUCCUUAGAAUUCUUUGUCCCCCAAAGAGGCAUGAUAAAGAGCUACUAUAAAGUGAUGAAUGUAUGUUA